rnacentral:rRNA from 1 species
GCGUAAUAGCUCACUGGUCGAGUCGGCCUGCGCGGAAGAUGUAACGGGGCUAAACCAUGCACCGAAGCUGCGGCAGCGACACUGUGUGUUGUUGGGUAGGGGAGCGUUCUGUAAGCCUGUGAAGGUGGCCUGUGAGGGUUGCUGGAGGUAUCAGAAGUGCGAAUGCUGACAUAAGUAACGAUAAAGCGGCUGAAACGCCGGCUCGGCGGAUGUCUG